GAUGAACGCUGGCGGCGUGCCUAAUACAUGCAAGUCGAGCGAACAGAUGAGAAGCUUGCUUCUCUGAUGUUAGCGGCGGACGGGUGAGUAACACGUGGGUAACCUACCUAUAAGACUAGGAUAACUCCGGGAAACCGGGGCUAAUACCGGAUAAUAUUUUGAACCGCAUGGUUCAAUAGUGAAAGACGGUUUCGGCUGUCACUUAUAGAUUGACCCGCGCCGUAUUAGCUAGUUGGUAAGGUAACGGCUUACCAAGGCGACGAUACGUAGCCGACCUGAGAGGGUGAUCGGCCACACUGGAACUGAGACACGGUCCAGACUCCUACGGGAGGCAGCAGUAGGGAAUCUUCCGCAAUGGGCGAAAGCCUGACGGAGCAACGCCGCGUGAGUGAUGAAGGUCUUCGGAUCGUAAAACUCUGUUGUUAGGGAAGAACAAAUUUGUUAGUAACUGAACAAGUCUUGACGGUACCUAACCAGAAAGCCACGGCUAACUACGUGCCAGCCGCCGCGGUAA
rnacentral:rRNA from 1 species